GAUUCCGGGACCCAUCUCGAGUUGGCGUCAGAGCUUCGUGCUC
rfam:Sporothrix insectorum RCEF 264 scaffold_14, whole genome shotgun sequence.